rnacentral:miRNA from 12 species
CGUGCCAGGGGUGCGUUUGCA